GAGUUUGAUUCUGGCUCAGNGCGAACGCUGGCGGCAGGCCUAACACAUGCAAGUCGAACGGGCUCUUCGGAGCUAGUGGCGGACGGGUGAGUAACACGUGGGAACGUGCCUUUAGGUUCGGAAUAAGCCCGGGAAACUGGGUCUAAUACCGGAUGUGCCCUUCGGGGGAAAGAUUUAUCGCCUUUAGAGCGGCCCGCGUCUGAUUAGCUAGUUGGUGGUGUAAUGGACCACCAAGGCGACGAUCAGUAGCUGGUCUGAGAGGAUGAUCAGCCACAUUGGGACUGAGACACGGCCCAAACUCCUACGGGAGGCAGCAGUGGGGAAUCUUGCGCAAUGGGCGAAAGCCUGACGCAGCCAUGCCGCGUGAAUGAUGAAGGUCUUAGGAUUGUAAAAUUCUUUCACCGGGGA
rnacentral:rRNA from 1 species